UACAUGGGGUGCAAACGUUGCUCGGAAUUAUUGGGCGUAAAGCGCACGUAGGCGGUUUGUUAAGUCGGAUGUGAAAUCCCUCGGCUCAACUGAGGAAGUGCAUCCGAAACUGGCAGGCUUGAGUACUAAAGAGGGUCGCGGAAUUCCCGGUGUAGAGGUGAAAUUCGUAGAUAUCGGGAGGAACACCGGUGGCGAAGGCGGCGACCUGGGUAGAUACUGACGCUGAGGUGCGAAAGCGUGGGGAGCAACAG
rnacentral:rRNA from 1 species